rnacentral:rRNA from 1 species
UACGUAGGGGGCAAGCGUUAUCCGGAAUCACUGGGCGUAAAGGGUGCGUAGGCGGCCGAUAAAGUCUGGGGUGAAAGGCUACGGCUCAACCGUAGUAAGCCUUGGAAACUUAUUGGCUUGAGUGCAGGAGAGGAGAGUGGAAUUCCUAGUGUAGCGGUGAAAUGCGUAGAUAUUAGGAGGAACACCAGUGGCGAAGGCGACUCUCUGGACUGUAACUGACGCUGAGGCACGAAAGCGUGGGGAGCGAACAGG